CUCAUUCCCGGGCCUCCGGCUGACCACGGGAAAGGGGAUCUUCAGGAGCGGGUGUCUCAUGGCUGGGAAGAGGACGGCACAGGAGGGCUGGGGAACCCGAAUUGCAGCCUGAAUGGCCAGUGUCCUUUCUCCAGAAUGCAGUUCUCCCUUGCUCAGAAGAAAUGAGUCUGCCAGUGGGUACAACAUGAGAUGAUACUUCCACCCCCAUUGGUGACAGCCCUCACCUAGCUAUCAAGACAGUGUUCGACUUCCUUCACUCCUUCCAGGGGCCAGCAUGUGGCUGGCCACUGUCCACCCUCAGGGGUUGUGAACUGAAUUAAAGGGUUGCGUCCUUCAUCCAUUUUCUUUGCUGAACUGUCUUGAAUUUUACCCUAAGUUCAAAAUGAAGCAGACCAUAGCUGAGUUUAAAGGAGAUCCGAUUGACAUUGGGAAGUGGCACCCAAUAAGAUGGCUGUUUCUUCCGCCUGCUCCAGGGCUCGCCAACAGGAGAACUGAAAGCUGAAGGUGAGAUUAGGGUGUAGGGUCAGCUGCUUGGGGCUGGGAUUGCUGGCAAACUCUGAGGGCGGGCAGUGAGCGCUCAUUAGGAGCACAUGGCUCAUGAAGCUUCUAGCACCUGUUCCUGAGUCAACCAGAGUAACGAAGAGGAUGAAGUAGCCAAGUCCGGAUUCUUAAGCAUAGAAUCAGAGAAGUAAGUGAAGCAGAUGCAGUAAGUGAAGCACAGAGGGGUGAUAUAACCCACCUAGGACUACACACUUGUGGAAGGUCCAAGUGGAACCAGAGACCAGGGCCUC
rnacentral:lncRNA from 1 species